AUCAUGGUCAGAUUAACGCUGGCGGCAGGCCUAACACAUGCAAGUCGAGCGGUAGAGAGAAGCUUGCUUCUCUUGAGAGCGGCGGACGGGUGAGUAAUGCCUAGGAAUCUGCCUGGUAGUGGGGGAUAACGUUCGGAAACGGACGCUAAUACCGCAUACGUCCUACGGGAGAAAGCAGGGGACCUUCGGGCCUUGCGCUAUCAGAUGAGCCUAGGUCGGAUUAGCUAGUUGGUGAGGUAAUGGCUCACCAAGGCGACGAAUCCGUAACUGGUCUGAGAGGAUGAUCAGUCACACUGGAACUGAGACACGGUCCAGACUCCUACGGGAGGCAGCAGUGGGGAAUAUUGGACAAUGGGCGAAAGCCUGAUCCAGCCAUGCCGCGUGUGUGAAGAAGGUCUUCGGAUUGUAAAGCACUUUAAGUUGGGAGGAAGGGCAGUUACCUAAUACGUGAUUGUUUUGACGUUACCGACAGAAUAAGCACCGGCUAACUCUGUGCCAGCAGCCGCGGUAAUACAGAGGGUGCAAGCGUUAAUCGGAAUUACUGGGCGUAAAGCGCGCGUAGGUGGUUUGUUAAGUUGGAUGUGAAAUCCCCGGGCUCAACCUGGGAACUGCAUUCAAAACUGACUGACUAGAGUAUGGUAGAGGGUGGUGGAAUUUCCUGUGUAGCGGUGAAAUGCGUAGAUAUAGGAAGGAACACCAGUGGCGAAGGCGACCACCUGGACUAAUACUGACACUGAGGUGCGAAAGCGUGGGGAGCAAACAGGAUUAGAUACCCUGGUAGUCCACGCCGU
rnacentral:rRNA from 1 species